ACGGGAUCGAACGGCCCAAAGAUAAGUC
rnacentral:sRNA from 1 species